rnacentral:rRNA from 1 species
AGUCGAACGGGACUCUCUGGAUGGAGACUUCGGUCAACUGAAUUUGAGUCUAGUGGCGGACGGGUGAGUAACGCGUGAGGAACCUGCCCUUCAGAGAGGAAUAACGUCCGGAAACGGACGCUAAUACCGCAUAACAUAUCGGUAUCGCAUGGUACUGAUAUCAAAGGAGCAAUCCGCUGAGGGAUGGCCUCGCGUCCGAUUAGAUAGUUGGCGGGGUAACGGCCCACCAAGUCGACGAUCGGUAGCCGGACUGAGAGGUUGAACGGCCACAUUGGGACUGAGACACGGCCCAGACUCCUACGGGAGGCAGCAGUGGAGAAUAUUGCACAAUGGGCGCAAGCCUGAUGCAGCAACGCCGCGUGAGGGAAGACGGUUUUCGGAUUGUAAACCUCUGUCCUAUGUGAAGAUAAUGACGGUAGCAUAGGAGGAAGCCACGGCUAACUACGUGCCAGCAGCCGCGGUAAUACGUAGGUGGCAAGCGUUGUCCGGAAUUACUGGGUGUAAAGGGAGCGUANGCGGGUGAACAAGUCAGCGGUGAAAAAUAUGGGCUUAACCCAUAUCCUGCCGUUGAAACUGUACAUCUU